ACCCGCUGAACUUAAGCAUAUCAAUAAGCGGAGGAAAAGAAACCAACAGGGAUUGCCUCAGUAACGGCGAGUGAAGCGGCAAGAGCUCAAAUUUAAAAACCGACGUAGCUUUAAGAGACGUCCGCAUUGUAAUUUGAAGAGGCAUUCUCGGGUCGGGGCUCAGGCCUAAGUUCCUUGGAAGAGGGCGUCGUGGAGGGUGAGAACCCCGUUCGCGGCCUGCUGUCGACCUUUCCCCGAUCCACACGAGGUGCCAUCGAAGAGUCGAGUUGUUUGGGAAUGCAGCUCAAAGCGGGUGGUAAAUUCCAUCUAAAGCUAAAUAUUGACGGGAGACCGAUAGCGAACAAGUAGAGUGAUCGAAAGAUGAAAAGCACUUUGGAAAGAGAGUUAAACAGCACGUGAAAUUGUUGAAAGGGAAGCGCUUGAGACCAGUCACGGACCGAGGCGAUCAGUGGGACGUCCCUCUCGGGGGAGGAACCGCGCACUCGCUUUUCGGGUUUUCCGGGUCAACAUCGGUUGGGACGGUGUCAGAAAGGUCGCGGGAACGUGGCUCCCUUCACGGGGAGUGUUAUAGCCCGUGGCGUCAAAGUCGCCAGUUUCGACCGAGGACCGCGCUCGUCUUUUUCGAGCAAGGAUGUUGACGUAAUGGUCCC
rnacentral:rRNA from 1 species